CCUGGAGGAAGGUGGGGAUGACGUCAAAUCAUCAUGCCCCUUAUGCUUAGGGCUACACACGUGCUACAAUGGGUAGUACAGAGGGUUGCCAAGCCGUAAGGUGGAGCUAAUCCCUUAAAGCUACUCUUAGUUCGGAUUGUAGGCUGAAACUCGCCUACAUGAAGCUGGAGUUACUAGUAAUCGCAGAUCAGAAUGCUGCGGUGAAUGCGUUCCCGGGUCUUGUACACACCGCCCGUCACACCACGGG
rnacentral:rRNA from 1 species